rnacentral:rRNA from 1 species
CAUUCACGGAGAGUUUGAUCCUGGCUCAGGACGAACGCUGGCGGCGUGCUUAACACAUGCAAGUCGAACGAUGAACCUCCUUCGGGAGGGGAUUAGUGGCGAACGGGUGAGUAACACGUGGGCAAUCUGCCCUGCACUCUGGGACAAGCCCUGGAAACGGGGUCUAAUACCGGAUACUGACCCGCUUGGGCAUCCAAGCGGUUCGAAAGCUCCGGCGGUGCAGGAUGAGCCCGCGGCCUAUCAGCUUGUUGGUGAGGUAAUGGCUCACCAAGGCGACGACGGGUAGCCGGCCUGAGAGGGCGACCGGCCACACUGGGACUGAGACACGGCCCAGACUCCUACGGGAGGCAGCAG